GCUGGUGCAUCCAUGACCUAUAUUUGGAUAUACGGGCUAUAAAAAGCCUUGGAACAAACAACCUCCUGCAGGACCCGGCUCCCCUGUCCCUGCUGUUGCUGCCGGCUUCAGGAGAGAGGAGCAAGCCCACUCCAGCUUUUAUUUCUCCUCUUGGUGUUCUCCAGGAAGAUGGCUAAAGGCAGCAUCUCCCUCCGCUCCCUGAAUGAGACGCUGAACAGCUUUUAUGACUCCAAACAGUGGUGACCACAAAAAUAGAUACUAGAGACCUGACCCAAGGGAGAAACACUGGAACUACUCCUGAAAGAAAAAAAGUGAAAAUUACAUCUGUGGUAAACUUCUUGAAGAAGUGUCUGAGUGAGUGAGUGAACAGGGAGAGCUUGGAGGCUGCACUGGCCUGGAAAAUAAAACCCACAUGACAGCUCUAAAA